GGUCCCGUAGUGUAGCGGUUAUCACGUCGCCCUGUCACGGCGAAGAACGCGGGUUCGAUUCCCGUCGGGACCG
rnacentral:tRNA from 2 species